GACGAACGCUGGCGGCGUGCUUAACACAUGCAAGUCGAACGGUGCGGCGAACGGGUGAGUAACUCGCGGGUGAUCUGCCUUGCACUUCGGGGUAAGCUUGCGAUACACGGGAUAAUACGGGAUCGUGCAAGAUGAGCUCGCGGCCUAUCAGCUUUUUGGUGGGGUAAUGGCCUCCCAAGGCGUCGACGGGUAGCCGGCCUGAGAGGGUGUACGGCCACAUUGGGACUGAGAUACGGCCCAGAAGCCUACGGGAGACAGGAGUGGGGAGUAUUGCACAAUGGGCGGAAGGCUGAUGCAGCGACGCCGCGUGGGGGAGGAAGGCAUUCGGGUUGAAAACUCCUUUCGACAGGGACGCGGUACCUGAAUAAGAAGCACCGGCUAACUACGUGCCAGCAGCCGCGGUAAUAA
rnacentral:rRNA from 1 species